rnacentral:ncRNA from 2 species
UUCUUAUCAAGAGAGACGGAGGGAAUGGCCCGACGAUGUCUCAGCAACCAGCCGAAGUAGGUCAGGUGCUAAUUCCAACAAGUCAAUGACUUGGAAGAUAAGAA